rnacentral:rRNA from 1 species
AUGGCUCACCAUCAUUUAGCUAUUGCAUUUAUUUUUCUCAUUGCCGGUCACAUGUAUCGAACUAACUUCGGAAUUGGGCACAGUAUUAAAGAUCUUUUAGAAGCGCAUACUCCUCCGGGGGGUCGAUUAGGGCGUGGGCAUAAGGGCCUUUAUGACACAAUCAACAAUUCGAUUCAUUUUCAGUUAGGUCUUGCUCUAGCUUCUUUAAGGGUUAUCACUUCCUUAGUAGCUCAACAUAUGUACUCUUUACCUCCUUAUGCAUUCAUAGCACAAGACUUUACUACUCAAGCUGCUUUAUAUACUCAUCACCAAUAUAUUGCAGGGUUCAUCAUGACAGGGGCUUUUGCUCAUGGAGCUAUUUUUUUCAUUAGGGAUUACAAUCCGGAACAAAAUGAGGAUAAUGUAUUGGCAAGAAUGUUAGACCAUAAAGAAGCUAUCAUAUCUCAUUUAAGUUGGGCUAGCCUCUUUCUAGGAUUCCAUACCUUGGGCCUUUAUGUUCAUAACGACGUCAUCCCGACCGGGAUUGAGUAUUCCCGGUGUGCCAAACAGGUCUAG